GUGCUCGCUUCAGCACAUAUACUAAAACUGGAACAAUACAGAGAAGAUUAGCAUUGCCCCUGCGCAAGGAUGACAUGCAAAUCCGUGAAGCGUUCCAUAUUUUA
rnacentral:snRNA from 1 species